UGGCGGGACUGGGGCUGCGUGAGUCUCUGAGCGCAAGCGGGCGGCGGCCGCCCCUCCCCCGGCGGCUGCGGCGGCGGCGGCGGCGGCGGCAGCAGCAGCUCACUCAGCCGCUGCCCGAGCGGAAACGCCACUGACCGCACGGGGAUUACCAGCGCCGGCGCCAGGGGCACUUGGGACACGCCCCCUCCCGCCGCGCCAUUGGCCUCUCCGCCCACCGCCCCACACCCAUUGGCCAACUUGUUGCCAAUCAGCGGAAGCCGCCGGGGCAGCCUAGAGAAGAGGCUGUGCUCUGGGGCUCCGGCUCCUCAGAGAGCCUCGGCUAGCUGGAAAAGCAUCUAAAUAUGAAUAGUGAUCCAAGAGAAAACAACAAGGAACUCAGGUGAAGUUUUUAAUUCAAAGAUAAAUCAGUCCUUUUAAGAAACCAAAAAUAUUUUGACAGGUUUAUGUCUGACAUUCAAAAGCAAUACCACGUUUGUGUACUGAAAAAUAAAAUCUUUAAAUUUGA